rnacentral:lncRNA from 1 species
ACUUUGGCCCAAAGAGAAUUCAGCUAAAGAAUAAGUUGGACGGUAAGUUUACACAUGAGAGCUUUCUGUGUGAUGCUAAGCAUGGACAAGCCUAAGGUCCUACUUUCUUUGACAAGCAGAUGGUAGACCAGGACAACAAGUGAAAAUAUCUUCAAUCGAUGGAACUGAAUUUCUUUUUAAGCUUAACCAUAAUAAAAGGAGGGA